ACUGCGGUAGCGGUAGUCAAAAUAAAAAAUACUUCAGUGCCUAUCCUGGCUAUCCAAACAAUGGAAACGCGCUUAAAAUAGUACAAUGAAACAUCGGCCGGCACCACGGACGGAUCUGGGGUUGAAAUGGCCGGCACCGCGCGUUAAUGAUAGGCCCAGCUGGACCGCCGCCCCGGCGUUUCCCGCCAGAACUGGGCUUUCUUCCUCCGCGUGCGACGAUGCCACCUCUCGCUGCUGCCUCUCCGCCUCCACCUCCUCCCUCAGACCCUGGACCUCGCCUUCCGGGGUCUGCAGCACCUCCUCCAGCCGUUCACUCCUCACGCUGUCGUAGGCCCGGUCCGUGUACGGCUGCGUUUCCACUUUCUGGGACGAGAGACUGCUCUGGAGAACCUCGGCAAGAUGGCGGGCCUGCUCACGUGGCUGCUCGUCUAGCGUUCUGGCCAGCUCGUCUGCUCGCUCGCGUUCCCUCUCGUCUGCCCUCUUUUCCAUACCGGUGUCGCGUUCUCCCGCAUCCUCCUAAACCUGAAGGCCCUCCCCCCUGUUCCGGAGCGAAAGUAAACAAACAAAGGCCAGCAGCUAAUAGCAGUGAUGUUCUCCCGUGCCCUGCGACAACAUGGCUUCAGACUUACGAGAGAGGAUUUUUAGUUUCAGUGAGGAAUUAGUCCCUCUAAAACAAUUGAUAUUAAAUAACUGGUAUCCACCAGGCAUGAAUGAGAACGAAAGGAGAAAUUUGAGACGACAGAGGCAACAUCACAUGAUAAAAGGCUCAGAUCAACCAAGCCAAAGCUCAUGCAAAGUCCCAAAAGGCCUACAAGAAGAAAAAAUCCCAGGGGGUCAAAUCCUUUGCACUGUAUGUGGGCCAGCUCGUGCUGAAACGCCAGGCAGCCAACAUUGCACACAAAGGUGGACCGUGUGAUCCACUGUGGACUGGGCCAUAUAGGAUUUUGGAAAUAAUGGAAAGGGAGACAGUAAAGCUGGCUGCCACCAGGAUUGGACAUGAUGAUAUCCCCCUGGCACAGAUGGUGGCUUAUGAUCAGCUUAAGCCUGUAAAGUUCGGUGCUCUUCACAGGCCAUCAGAAGAGCUGGCAGCAGGCAGUUCUACUGACACAGACCCUGAACUGUACCUCAGUGAAGAAACAUACCAGAAAGGACAAGGCAUUUCCAUCCCUGUGCCAGUUACUGCCCCUCCUUAGCCAAGGGACACAAGGCAUCCAGACAGGGAGGAAGAUAUCAUUCUGAUUGGAACCAGGCCCAAGGCUGAAAGAGAAGCCGUGUGUCUGCCCCCUGUGCCAGCCAGUCACCAAGAUCCACAAGUAGAGGCAAUGAUUCAGAUUCUUGAAGAGAAAAGGUGGCUCACUGAUGACCACAUGAAUCUGCCAGGUCCUCCUCAAACAUCAGUUUCCCGAGGUUGAUGGCCUCCAAAGCUGUGCAAUAUUUGAGGCGGUGGAGCAUAUUCGUGUUGGUACUCCCAGGGGAAAGUUUGUGCAAAUUCUCAAUCUCAGCAGUAAUCACUGGAUUACAGAAAGUAACAUUCAUCAUUGUCAAGAAGGUAAAGUAAGAUUUUAUGACUCCAUGUUCACAAAAGUCAGUAUGUCCCACCGCCAAAAAUUCUUUGAGCAGCUUGGGUGGAUGUUACACACCUCUAGCGAUGCCAUAACAUUGGAAUGGCGUGAUGUUCAGCGUCAGAGGGACGGCGAUGCAUGCAUCUUGUAUGCCAUCGCUAAUGCUUAUGCACUCUGUGCAAAUGUCAGACCUGAGGAGUGUGCAUGGGAUCAGGAUGGUUUGUACGACUGGCUGGUUGGAUGCCUUCAAGCCGGAGAAAUGUUUUGACCCCCUGUAACAGUACCCUGAAGAAGCAAUAAGGGUGCUGUUCGCACUGAGGUGGAAACGGUCUUCUGCAAAUGCCGUUUACCAAAUAAUGAGACCUGUCCUAUGGUUGCCUGUGAUAAUUGCAACAAGUGGUACCACUUCAGCUGACAGCUAGAUACUCCAAUGCAGCAACUGCGGGUAACUUUUUUUCAAAUGCUAUUUGAAAAGUACC